CCAAUAGCGUAUAUUAAAGUUGUUGCAGUUAAAAAGCUCGUAGUUGAAUUUCGGGGUCAGUAGGUCGGUCGUGCCACUGGUAUGAACUGGUUUUACUGAUUCCUCCCUCUUGAAGAACUGUAAUGCCAUUAAUUUGGUGUUGCAGGGAAUCAGGACUGUUACUUUGAAAAAAUUAGAGUGUUUAAAGCAGGCUUUAGCUUGAAUACAUUAGCAUGGAAUAAUGAAAUAGGACGUUUGAUCCUAUUAUGUUGGUUUCUAGGAUUGACGUAAUGAUUAAUAGGGAUAGUUGGGGGCAUUAGUAUUCAAUUGUCAGAGGUGAAAUUCUUGGAUUUAUUGAAGACUAACUACUGCGAAAGCAUUUGCCAAGGAUGUUUUCAUUAAUCAAGAACGAAAGUUAGGGGAUCGAAGACGAUCAGAUGCCGUCGUAGUCUUAACCAUAAACUAUGCCGACUAGGGAUCGGAUGAUGUUAAUUUUUUAAUGACUCAUUCGGCGCCUUAC
rnacentral:rRNA from 1 species